CAAAUGAUGUCCCAAAGCAAGGUUUGUGGCCAUGGGACCUGGCCACCUGCUGAUGGCCAGAGGCUGAGGAAGCCAAGGCGUCCUCCGAGCCAGUGAUCUCAUGCUAUUCCUGCACAGGCAGCAGCUGGAAGUAGCUGGAAACAUCCCUCAGAGUAAUUUUUCCUAUGCCGGCUGUUGCCAAACGAUGGUCUGUGGAGCCCUGCUGGUUGGUGAGCUCAUGGAAAGCCAUCUGCACCUGGGCUCGGGGGCCAUCCAGCCGAAACGGUGGUGACAUAGACACACGUACGGCAAGUGGAUGCAGAGGGCAGCGAGGGGGAGUGGAUGCGCUCGGCCGUGCCUUGCUGCCUGCAGAGGAGAACGCAUGCUCACGCUCGGCCGGCGGCUGCCUGCACACAUUCCCUUGUUUUCUCGGCUGGGAUGGAGGGAGAAGGCCUGGUUUCGGUUAAGCCCUUGGUCACACAAAGAUGCCUUUCCUAUUACUCUUUUGUUUUCCCUUCCCAGUAAUGUUCCCAUUUAACUCUUUCAACUCUCCCCAGGGGUGCAGCUCACCCUUCCCGAGGGAUGGCCCCAGGCAGGGGCAAUUCAGGAGCAAAGGGCGGUUGUGGGGGUCCAGGGCUGGAGCCCCCCAACCCCACAUACAGGCUUGGGGAAGCUGGUGCAGGGGAGGAUGGCAGUGCCGGGAAGAGCUGGGGUGCCAGGAGGAAGAUACUCCAACGCCACAGUGCUGAGCAUGGUGGAAAUACCUAAAGAGUCAGUCAUGGUGUUAUCAUGGCUGAAUUUGGCUCCAAACUUCAGAUCUGCAAAGGGGGAGUGCUGGGG